UAGAUAUAGCAUUGUUGGUUGCAAAUUAAUUCCGAUGAGAAUUUAAAAUUGAUUUAAAAUUAUUAGUUUGGAGCCUUUCGGGUGGGUUUGUGUAGGGCCUUGGUCACUCUUUCUCCCCCAAACACCGUUCAAUUCUUCAGCCGUUCAUCAAUAACCGCACCACCCCCACCCGCCGAACGCAGAUUGUCAAAAUGAAGAUUAAAAACAUCCUCAAAAUUUCAACGAGACACUAUCCUUAACGCGGUAAUGGGUUUUACUGUUCCACACAACACAUGAAGAGAAGAACAUCCAUCAUCACCUAUCUCCACCGUUUCCAUCAAUAUAAUUUUCCCUCUGCCACCGCCGCCGCCAACUUCUCAACAACUCCUCGCCCUUUUCCCGACUACUCCCCACGAAACCCUUCCGUCACAGACACCGAGCUUAUCCGCCACGUCACAACUACAAUCAAACGACGCCGUUUAGAACCCUUCCGCCGCGUUCUUAAACCUUACGAAUCACGCUUCAAACCAAGUCAUCUUAUUUGGGUUCUCAUCAACAUAAAAGACGAUUACCAACUCGUCUUAAACCUCUUCAACUGGGUAAAAUCCCGUUCACAACAACAACUUCACCCCACUUUGGAAUCACUUUGCAUUGUCGUUCACAUUGCUGUUGCUUCAAACGACAUCCAAACUGCUAAAAGACUUGUUUUUGAGUUCUGGUCUACGCCGCGGUUGGAUGUUUCGAAAUCGUUUGAUCUUUUUAUUGAGAGGUUGAUUUAUACUUAUAAAGAUUGGGGCUCACACCCUCUUGUUUUUGAUGUGUUCUUUCAAGUGUUGGUUGAAACUGGGUUCGUUUUAGAAGCUGAGAAACUUUUUCAUAAGUUGUUAGGGUACGGUGUUGUUGUGUCUGUAGAUUCUUGUAAUUUGUUUCUGUCUAGGUUAUCUAGCAAUUUUGAGGGGAUUAAGAUUGCAGUUAAGGUGUUUGAAGAAUUUCCUGAAUUGGGUGUUGGUUGGAAUACUGUUUCGUAUAACAUUGUUCUUCAUUGUUUCUGUCAAUUGGGUAAGGUGAAAGAAGCACAUAACCUGCUUGUACAAAUGGAGAAUAGAGGGAGUUUUCCUGAUGUUGUAAGUUAUGGUGUUGUUGUUAGUGGAUAUUGUAAAAUUGGAGAGCUCGACAAGGUUUUGAAGCUUGUGGAUGAGUUGAAGAGAAAGGGGUUGAAACCUAAUGAAUACAUUUACAAUAACAUAAUUUUACUACUCUGUAAGAAUGGUGAAGUGGUUGAAGCGGAGCAAGUUAUGAGAGAGAUGAGAAAAUGUGGUGUUUUUCCUGAUAAUGUAGUGUAUACGACUCUCAUCAGCGGUUUCUGCAAGUCUCACAAUUUUUCGGUUGCGUACAAACUGUUUGAUGAAAUGAGACAUAAGAAAAUAGUUCCUGAUUUAGUGACAUAUACUACUGUGAUUCAUGGGAUUUGUAAGACUGGAAAGAUGGUUGAAGCUCGCGAAAUGUUUAAUGAAAUGUUUGUGAAAGGGUUGGAGCCCGAUGAAGUUACUUAUACGGCACUUAUUGAUGGGUAUUGCAAGGCUGGUGAAAUGAAUGAGGCUUUCUCGAUUCACAACCAGAUGGUUCAGAAGGGUCUGACCCCUAAUGUUGUCACUUAUACUUCGUUGGUUGACGGCCUUUGUAAGAAUGGAGAGAUAGAUGUAGCGAAUGAACUUCUUCAUGAAAUGUCUAGAAAGGGACUUCAACCGAAUGUCUGCACGUAUAACACGAUCGUAAAUGGUCUUUGUAAGAUAGGAAAUAUAGCACAAGCAGUAAAACUUAUGGAAGAAAUGGAUCUGGCAGGGUUUUAUCCUGACACAUUUACAUACACUACACUCAUGGAUGCAUAUUGUAAGAUGGGGGAAAUGGCCAAGGCACACGAGUUGCUGCGAGUUAUGCUCGAUAAAGGACUUCAUCCUACAAUUGUUACAUUCAAUGUGUUAAUGAAUGGGUUUUGCAUGUCAGGGAUGUUGGAAGAAGGUGAAAGGUUAAUCAAAUGGAUGUUAGAGAAGGGUAUAAUGCCAAAUGCCACAACAUUCAAUUCUCUUAUGAAGCAGUACUGCAUUAGAAAUAACAUGCGUGCAACUACUGAGAUUUACAAGAGUAUGCACGCACGAGGAGUGAUGCCAGACAGUAACACGUAUAAUAUUUUGAUUAAAGGGCAUUGUAAGGCUAGGAACAUGAAAGAGGCAGGGUUCCUGCAUAAAGAAAUGGUUGAAAAAGGAUUUAGUGUUACCGCCACUUCCUAUAAUGCUCUUAUUAGAGGUUUCUAUAAGAGGAAGAAAUUUGUGGAAGCUAGGAAGCUAUUUGAGGAGAUGAGAACACAUGGUUUGGUUGCUGAGAAAGAUUUAUAUGAUAUUUUUGUCGAUGUCAACUAUAAAGAAGGGAAUUGGGAAAUAACUCUUGAGCUUUGUGAUGAAGCAAUCGAGAAAUGUCUUGUUAAGGAAACUUAGUUGACUUUUGUCUGCAGUUUAUGACAGAAUUAUCAGGGAAAGUAUUUUCUUUCUUGGUGGAUCACUUGAAAGAUAAUUCGACAUUACAAAGCACAGAUGCUGGACACGACACUGAAAUGGACACGCCAAUACGAUUAUUAUUUGAGCAAAUGAAAUACAUAUUGGUGUCAUGUUGUUGUCAGACACUUAGACAUGGCUAACACACCUUCAAUUUGAAAUGUCGGUGCUACAUAGACUGGACUGGACCACCAAUUUUCGUCAUCAUAGUGUGACACUUGACUUCCAGGUAGAUCACUGGAUUUUGCCAAAGAUCAAAUUUUGCUCCCUUUUGUUUUGAAGGUCUGAACUUCUGAUUGCAAGUUUGAUUGCAUCUGGUUUUGGAUGACAUCUUUAGUAAUAUUGAUAAUGUUGUGCGUGUCUGGGUUAUCAUCACAUCUUUGUUGACAACACUCUGGUUUCUGAUUUCUUCAUAAUCUGAGUUUGAUAUUGGCACUGCAUAGUUUCAUGUUUUUGAGCUCAUGGAUCAUCAUCUUUUCCACACCGUUUACCUAUUUCUCUUAUAUGAAAAUUCGAAUUCACAUAAUUGCUAAUAGGUUAAGAAAAGAGCUGUCAUGAUGUCCUUUGAACAGGGUUGAAACUAAUGUUUCACAUGUGGUGGUGGCUGGUUGGGAAUUGGAAUCUUCAAUAAAUAAUUAAUGAAACUCAUGGAAUGACAAAAAUUCUUAAACCAGUGUACUUUAGCGUCAAAGCAUGGCGAUUACAUUUGUAUUUUGCAUGCAAAAUGCACUACAGUGUAAGACUCUCCAAUCUGAUAUGCUUGUGAAUUUAUAGUAAAAAAUAGUAUAGUAAUUAAGACAUUUGAUUGAUCUUGUUUUCCUUUCAUUAUUCAGGAUUACAUGAUCUAAUUAUAGAAAACAAU